rnacentral:lncRNA from 1 species
AAUUUAAAUGACAAGGAACACAUUAAAUCUGAUCACUUUUUGUGGUACUUUUAGACAACUACAAUCUUAAUGUCUAUUUCAUUUACCAUCUUUAAUUUUUUUUUUUUUUACCUUUUCAAUAUCUUCCUCUUACCUAUCCCCCACUUGCUGGUUUAGAAUUCUUAAGAUUACAUUUCUACUGUUUAAUGGAACAUUCAUACUUUCUUGUAAAUCUUCCUAAAAAUCUAUAAAGUUAUUUGGCAUCUACGUCUCAAACAAGAAAAAUAUUUUUAACUACUGAAAACUCCUUUCAUCUUACUAGUAUUAAAUAUUAAGUGUUUAUUAUGUCCAUUAUCAAUACUUAACUUUACUAACCUCUUUCAUCCAUUUCUUGUUCUUCAUUGUUUGUUUUGUAUUUCACCUCUUCUCUCCCCCUGAAGCUUUCUGCAUCUUGUAGGUGGGUUGGCUAGUGACAUUUAUCUUUAUGUGUGUGAUAAUAUGUUAUUUUUGCUUUACUACAGAAUGAUUGCUAUGAUUAAUAUAAAAUUCUACAGUAAUAUUUACUUUUCCUUUUUUCUUUCAUGGUCAUUACUACAAAACACUCCCCCUUUUGCUGUCUGCAUACUGCUACACAUAAAACGUCCACCUCAAAAGAGCAGCAACUGGACUUCACACUAUGAUUUCUUGGCAAGUUUAGGCUGGGAUCUUCGCUGAAUCUGUGAUUUCCCUGUAAGCAGUUCUCCACCGUAACAAGAUAGAGAAGAAACUGGCUAAAAGUGCACAGAGGCAAAGGACAUGAGAAACCAGAGAACUGGGCUAACUCCUUCUCAAGAUGGGGACUGACACAGGAGGUAUCCAGAAAAUAACGCUACAGACAAGGUGUAACUGUGAACUGUAAACAAAUGACAAUCACAGAAGAGAACAGUAAGGAAAAAGACCUGCCUCUGCUUUGGUGGAAAGUUUUAUCUGUUACAUGGUGUCUUCAAGUUUGGGGUGUCUUCAAGAAAAGAAGAUUCUCCAUUCUACACUCAGAUGUUUGUUUAACCAUUAAACUUGUUGGUCUGCUCCUGCACCGUGAAUUUGGAGGGGUUUUUGAGCACUGGGGAAAGAUGGGACUACGCAGAAUUCCUGGGUUACAUAGAUUAUGCACAUAAUCUGAUCCUACAGAGCUCAAAAUUAGGAUCACAGAGAAAAAAGUAGAUGGAAGCCUAUAGUCUUGCUAUGAAACAUACCCAAGAGGUAUGUAUAUAUCAAAAGAAUCUAGUGGUUCACCCUUACCAGCUGGAGUAAGCUGGCAAGGUGCAAGUCUCACAAGAGCUGUAAAGUGUAAGGGACGCUUGAGGUUGCAUUUGAACUCAGUGAGGCUGUUGGGAUCCUUAUUAACAGUGACCUAGACAAUCAUAGCAUGAUGAAACUAGAAAUCAAUGGCAAAAGAUACCGCAGAAAAUAUGCAAAUAUAUGUAAAUUGAACCAUACACUCUUGAUCAAUCUGUGAGUUACUGAAGAAAUUAAGAAAAAAGAUAGUUCCUAGAAUUAAAUGAUAAUGUCAGUACAGCGUUCCAGAACUUAUGGGACACAAUAAAAGCAGUCCUACAAGGGAAAUAAAUGCCCACGCUAAAAAAAAAAAAGAGUAAGUCCAAAUAAAUAACCUAAUUCUUGCAUGGUAAGAACAACAACAGUCUUAAUUCCAAAGCCAGUACAAGGAAGGAAAUUAUGAAGAUCAGAGCAGAAAUAAAUGAAAUUGAGACUAAAAAAAAAAAAAAAUACAAAAAAUCAAUGAAUUAAAGAGCUGAUUUUUCAAAAGAAUAAACAAAAUAAACAUACCCUUAGCCAACCUUACCUAAAAAACAAACAAAAACCAACAAAAGGAAAGACCCAAAUCAAUGCAAUUAAAAAUGAAGAAAAUGAAGUCAUAAUGAACACUGCCAAAAUUCAGAAGAUAAUAGCAACUCCUUUGCAAAUCUGUAUACCAAUAAAUUGGAGAAUUCAGAAGACAGGAAUAUAUUCCUAGAUUCAUAUGAAUUACCAAAACUGAAGCAAGAAGACAGAAAACUUCUGAUAAUUGAAGAAGUAAUUUUUAAAAACUACCAAAAAGGAAAAACCCAGAUGAAUUUACCACUGAAUUCUAUAAGAACUUCAAUGAAGAACCAAUACCAUUACUCCUGAAGCUCUUUAAAAAUUGAAAGGGAAAGAGUGUUCCCCAAGUCAUUCCUAGAAGCUACAUUACCCUGAUUCCAAAAGCAAACAAGAAGCCAACCAAAAAAAAAAAAAAAAACCAAAAUAAAAAACCCAAAGGGCUGAGCAUAAAUUUACUGAGCAUAAAUUUACUGAGCAUAAAUGCAAAAAUCUUCAACAAGAUAAUGACAAAUGGAAUACAGUAAAUGAUCAAAAAGAUCGUACAUCAUGACCAAGUAGGAUUCAUCCCAAGGAUGCAAGAUAGUUCAGCAUCGGGGCUGGGGAUUUAGCUCAGCGGCAAAAGCGCCUGCCUGGCAAGCGCAAGGUCGUGAGUUCGGUUCCUGGUACCGGAGAAAAACCACAAAAAAAAAAAAAAAAAAAAGAUCAGCAUCUGCAAAUCAAUAAAUAUAAUACAUCAUAUAAACAGGACAAAAAUCACAUGAUGAUUUUAUGUUGGUAGACACAUAAAAAGCCUUUGACAAAAUCCAGCAUCCAUUAGUGAUUUUUAAAAAAGAACACUGAAGAAGAUAGAUAUAGAGGAACUUUAUUUCAAUCUGGUAAUAUCCAAAGCCAUUUGUGACAAAUUUGCAGCUAACAUCAACUAAAUUUGCAACCAACAUCAACUAAAUGUGGCAAAACUAAACUUUCCCUCUAAAAUCAGGAACAAGGUAAGGAUGUCCACUGUUGGCACUCCUCUUCCACAUAGUACUUAAAAUAUUAGCAAGAGCAAUCAGGAAAGAAAAAUAAAUAAAAAGGAUGUAUCAGUCAGUGCUUACUAGAGAGACAGACAAUGCAAGAUACACAAAUAUAUUACAAGAUUGGCUUACAGUGGCCACCCACAGACUCAUACAUGGAAGAGUGUGAAAGGUCUGCAUGCUGAAGAGCCAAAGGAUCCAAUCAAAGGAUUGAAGCUCAGUGUACUGUCCCGCACAAGUCCAUAUCAGGAGGCCAAAGGGUCAGUGAUGGAAGCCAGGAGAUGACAUCUGAGGUGAAGGCGAAGAGUGGAUCUCCUAUGAAGCAGAAGCAAGCCUUCCUUGCUUCCCUUUUAUACAACUCAAGCAACAAGUCACCCUAGGAUGGGUCUUCUGUCCUCAGUAAAUCCCCUCAGCCACACCCCAAACUAUGCUGAGCCAAUUUAAUUUGGCAUUUCUUACUCAAAUUGACACAAUCAGUUAACUAUCACAAGUGAUAGGUAUAGGAAAGGAAGAAGUCAAAUUAUUAUUUGCAGAUGACAUGAUCCUCUACACAGAAGACUCAAAAAUUUCACCCAAAGACUCCUAGAAUUAAUAACCAAAUUCAGCAAGGUAGCACAAUACAAAAUCAACACAAAAAUCAAUAGCAUUCCUGUACACCAAUAAAGAACUUACUGAGAAAGAAAUUAGGAAAAAAUACCCUUUACAACAACACCAAGAAAAUUAGAUACUUAGAAAUUAACUUCAGUAAGGAAAUGAAAGACCUUCACUAAGGAAAUGAAAGACCUCCACAAUGAAAACUACAGUACCCAGAAAAUGAAAUUGAAGAUGGAAAGAUAUCUACUGUCCCUGGGAACCAACAUUGUCGAAAUGGUAUACAAUAUUCUGCAAUAUAUAUAUAUAUAUAUAUAUAUAUAUAUGAUGUAAUCCCAAUCAAAAUACCAACAGCAUACUUCACAGACUGGCGAAAACAAUCCUAAACUUCAUGUGAAACCAGAAGAGACCUAGAAUAGCGAAAGCAAUCCUGAGUAACAAGAGCAAAGCAGGAGACAUCACAAUCCUGGACCUGACAAUAUAUUACAAAGCUACUGUGAGUAAAAGCAGCAUGGUAUUGACACAAAAACAGACAAUGAUCAAUGGAAAAAAUAGAGGAUGCAGAAAUAACUCCAGGCACAUUCAGCUACCUGAUCUUUGACAAAAGUGCUAAAAAUAUAUGCUAGAGGAAAGAUAGUCUGUUUAAUAAAUGAUGCUGGGAAAACUGGCUAAUCACAGGUAGAAGGUUAAGUCCAAACCCAUAUCUCUCAGCAUGUACUAAACUAAAAUCAAAACUGAUGAAGGAUCUAAAUGUGAAAAUAAAGACACAACAUGAUGUAACAUAAAAUAGAUAAGACUCUUGAAAUCAUAGAUGUAGGCAAGGACUUUCUGAACAAAACACCAGUGGCACAGGAAAUAGUACCAAGAAUAAGCAAAAUGAAUUCAUAUCAAAUUAAAAAGCUUCCACAGAGCAUAGACAACUAACAAAUUAAAAAGACAAUCUACAGAAUGGGAAACAAUUUUGCCUGUUAUUCCUCAGGCAGAGGACUAAUACCUAGAAUAUAUAAAGAACUCAAAAAAAUUAGACUCCCCAGAAUUAAAGACCCAAUCAAAAGAUGGGCAAGUGAAAUGAAUAGACACUUCUCAGAGGAAGCACAGAUGGCCAAUAAAUACAUGAAGUUUUCAGCUUUUUUUUUUUUUUUUUUGCGUACCAGGAAUUGAACUCAGAACCUUGGCUAGCCAGGAAGGCUCUUAUGCCUCUGAGCUGUAUCCCUGGCCUCAGGCCAAUAAAUACAUGAAGAAUGUUAAACAGCACUGACUAUUAAAGGAAUGCAAAUUAAAAUAACACUGAGAUUUUACCUUACCCCAGACAGAAUAGCUGUCAUCAAGAAAUCAAAUAUUAACAAAUGUUGGCAAGGCUUCAAGGGGAAAGGAACCCUUCCACAUUGUUGGUAGAAAUGUAAACUAGUAAACCCACUAUGAAAAUCAGUAUGGAGAUUCCACUAAAAUCUAAAACUAGAAAUUCCAUCUGACCCAGAUAUUCUCCUUCUAGGUAUUUUCCUGAGAGUUAGAGACAUCAUAUUACAGUGAUACAUUGAUAUUCAUGUUUAUAGCAGCACAAUUCAUAAUAGCUAAAUCUUUAAAGUGUCCUAUAUGUCCAUCAACAGAUGAAUAAAGAAAAUGGGCUAUUUAUACACAGUGGAGCACUACUCUGCCAUAAAGAAAGAUAAAUUUGUGUCACUUGUAGGAAAAUGGAUGCACCUUAAGCGAAAUAAAUCAAACACACAAGGUUAAAUAUCACAUGGCUUUGCUUAUAUGAGAAACUUAAAAAUAUAAACAAAUGGAAAAUAAAGGAUAGAUAAUAACAAAUAGGGAGAUUGAUCUUUCUCACAUGAGAAGGAGAUUAAACAUGAAGGGAAGUGGAGAAGGAAUGGGAAGAAAUUUUUAAGAGUUAAGAUGUGUCAUGUACAAGUCCUGACUCCCCAUAAAGAAUGUAGUCAUUAUGUGUUAGAAACAAGUACUAGUAAAAAAUGAAAACUGAAAAAAAUAAACAAUGAGCUCUAUUAACCACAAAGACCCACAGAAAGGAGAUGGCAACCUCACCAUGGUCAGGCACUAAAAGGUAUUAUCUGUUGGGGUUUUUUUUUGUUUUUUUUUUUUUUGUUUUUUUUUUUUGUACUGAGAAUCAAACUCACAGCCUCGUGCUUGCCACGCAGGUGCUGUGUCACUGAGGUAUAUCCCCGGCCCCUACCUGUUUUUCUUUUGAGCUUCCUAACCCCACCAUCAGAAGAAGGGGCAUGUGAGAGAGAGAGAGAGAGAGAGAGAGAGAGAGAUGUGUGUAGAGUUGGGGCACAGAUCUAGCUUGCUCUGGAGGGUAGUAUAUUUAUGAACUAAAUAUGAGAUUGUUUUAAAUGAGUAAGACUAAAUUUCAAUAUGGAGAAUGAAAGUUCUAAUGCCUAGGGAGGCUGAUAUCUAGAGGCACUGAAGUUUUUAAAAGUACCAAGUGCACAAAAUAGAAGGCUUUUAUGCUUGUGCUUGGGAUUCUUGAGCUGAUCACUCAUCUUUGUUUCACUUACUAUACUGUGAACAUCUUUAGACCAGGAUUAUUUCUUCAUCAUCUUUCUAUCCACAGUAUCUAAUGUAUGUUACAGUGCUUGGGACAUAGGAUGUCAUGACUAAAUGAAAU